ACAGUCGUGGCCGUGUGGUUAACGCGGUGGACUAGAAAUCCAUUGGGGUCUCCCCGCACAGGUUUGAAUCCUGUCAACUGUG
rnacentral:tRNA from 1 species